CAAAUACUCCCUCCGUCCGGAAAUUCUUAUCAUCAAAAUGGAUAAAAGGAAAUGUAUCUAGACGUAUUUUAGUUUUAGAUACAUCUCUUUUUAUCCAUUUUGAUGACAAGUAUUUUCGGACGGAGGGAGUAGAAA
rfam:Triticum aestivum genome assembly, contig: Triticum_aestivum_CS42_TGACv1_scaffold_597524_7BS